rnacentral:rRNA from 1 species
GAUGAACGCUGGCGGCGUGCCUAAUACAUGCCAGUCGAGCGAACAGACGAGGAGCUUGCUCCUCUGACGUUAGCGGCGGACGGGUGAGUAACACGUGGAUAACCUACCUAUAAGACUGGGAUAACUUCGGGAAGCCGGAGCUAAUACCGGAUAAUAUAUUGAACCGCAUGGUUCAAUAGUGAAAGACGGUUUUGCUGUCACUUAUAGAUGGAUCCGCGCCGCAUUAGCUAGUUGGUAAGGUAACGGCUUACCAAGGCGACGAUGCGUAGCCGACCUGAGAGGGUGAUCGGCCACACUGGAACUGAGACACGGUCCAGACUCCUACGGGAGGCAGCAGUAGGGAAUCUUCCGCAAUGGGCGAAAGCCUGACGGAGCAACGCCGCGUGAGUGAUGAAGGUCUUCGGAUCGUAAAACUCUGUUAUUAGGGAAGAACAAAUGUGUAAGUAACUAUGCACGUCUUGACGGUACCUAAUCAGAAAGCCACGGCUAACUACGUG